UCCGGUUUAACACCGGCAGUCUUCUUAGAGUGCUCAGCCGAACUGCUAGCAACUAAGAACAAGGGUUGCGCUCGUUACGGGACUUAACCCAACAUCUCACAACACGAGCUGACGACAGCCAUGCAGCACCUGUCUCCUGGUUCCCUCGCGGGCACUCCAAAAUCUCUUCUGGAUUCCAGGGAUGUCAAAAGUAGGUAAGGUUCUUCGCGUUGCAUCGAAUUAAACCACAUGCUCCACCGCUUGUGCGGGCCCCCGUCAAUUCCUUUGAGUUUUAACCUUGCGGCCGUACUCCCCAGGCGGAGAACUUAGCGCGUUUGCUACGCUACUGAUGCCCUUGGGCACCAACAGCUAGUUCUCAUCGUUUACAGCGUGGACUAC
rnacentral:misc_RNA from 1 species